UCUUAGAGAAGCGGUUUCAUGGUGCUGAAUUCGGAGUCAAGUAUGUGUAGCGAUGUGCUCUGUCUGUAUAGUUAACCAGUGAGAGCUUGGAAUAAUAUGAUGAGUAACACUUGAAAAGGCACCUCUGUGAGCCGGGAAGUGAGCCCUCACCAGACGCUGACCCGCCAGAGCCAUGAUCUGUGACUUCCCGGUCUCCAGAACGGUUAUCAUUUGUUGAGAUAAAGAUACCUAAGAUUAAAGCAACCUGGAAUGCUGAGCCAACACGUGGAAGAAAAUUGCCCAGAGAGUCAUUUGGACAUGCAGCAAACUUUGAUCAAGAAGGGAAACAAAACGAAACAAACCAUUUGUUAUAUAAGUCACUGAGGUUUUGCUAUCUUUUUUUCUUUUUAGUUCUCAUGUGUGUGUACCUGUCUGUAUCUUGGGGUUACUACAUAUAAUAUGACAUAU